rnacentral:rRNA from 1 species
GACGAACGCUGGCGGCGUGCUUAACACAUGCAAGUCGAACGGAAAGGCCCUGCUUUCAGUUUACUCGAGUUGCGAACGGGUGAGUAACACGUGGGUGGUCUGCCCUGCACUUCGGGAUAAGCCUGGGAAACUGGGUCUAAUACCUGAUAGGAGCCAUUUUUAGUGUGAUGGUUGGAAAGUUUUUUCGGUGUAUGAUGAGCUCGCUGCCUAUCAGCUUGUUGGUGGGGUAAUUGCCUACCAAGGCGGCGACGGGUAGCCGGCCUGAGAGGGUGGACGGCCACAUUGGGACUGAGAGACGGGCCAGACUCCGGCGGGAGGCAGAAGGGGGGAAUAUUGCACAAUGGGCGCACGCCUGAUGCAGCGACGCCGCGUGGGGGAUGACGGCCUUUGGGUUGUAAACACAUUUCGCUAGGGACGAAGCUUUUUGUGACGGUAACUAGAUAAGAAGCACCGGCUAAAUACGUG